AGCGAACGCUGGCGGCGUGCUUAACACAUGCAAGUCGAGUGCGCGUCCGUAGCAAUACGGAUGGCGCACGGCGCACGGGUGCGUAACACGUGGGCAAUCUGCCCUCGGAUGGGGGAUACCCCCGCGAAAGCGGGACUAAUACCGCAUGAUAUUCCGAAGACCUCGGUCUUUGGAUUCAAAGGUCGCAAGAUCGUCUGAGGAGGAGCCCGCGCCCGAUUAGCUAGUUGGUGAGGUAACGGCUCACCAAGGCUUUGAUCGGUAGCCGGUCUG
rnacentral:rRNA from 1 species